rnacentral:rRNA from 1 species
GACAGAGGUCCCGAGCGUUAGGCGGAAUCACUGGGCUUAAAGCGUGUGUAGGCGGCGGCCUAAGUACCUUGUGAAAUCCCACGGCUCACCCGUGGAACUGCUCGGUAUACUGGGUCGCUUGAGCCACUUAGGGGCUACCGGAACAAAUGGUGGAGCGGUGAAAUGCGUAGAUAUCAUCAGGAACACCGGAGGCGAAGGCGGCUCACUGGGGAUUUUCUGACGCUGAGGAACGAAAGCCAGGGGAGCGAACGGG